AUCCAUCUCUCUCCAUUUCCUCUCCAUUUGCCUAUCUAUUUCUCUUCUCAGUUGAGAGAAAAGCCACCAGAAUUUUAGAAAGCAUUUCAAGAGUUCUUGGAGUAGCAACAUUCAGCAUCUUAAAGGUCUUUUGGCCGGCAAAACAAAGCAAGAGGGAUGGGAUACACACUAAUCAGACUUCGGAGAAACAUCAGAUUUGUCUUCUAAUUUUCUUCUUUUUAUUCAUUUUGAAUUUAUGAAUAUGAUUGCUAAAUGUUUUGAUGCUCCAAAUUUAAUUAAAAUGAUUUAAUUGUGUUUCUAUUAGAUUAAUUGCAUUUUGCCCACUUAAAUUAUUAAAAUUAUAUUUUUGAUAUUAUAGACCUUGGUUAAUUAUUCAUUCAGAUAAAAUCACACUUAUGUUAUUCUUGCAUUAGAAUGGUGAUGCAAUUGAAUUAAUUAUUUAAUCAGAAUAAAAUUAUAAUUAAUUGACUCAAUAUCUGAACGAUGCAUGUUUAAAUUUUUUUUAUGGAGAAUUAGAUUAAAUGAGUAUAAUAGUAUUCACCAAUAUUAGUGCCUUGCAUAACCUAAAGAUUGAUAUGAUUAAAAUUGUUUUAGUAUAGAAUUAUAUUGUUAUUUCACUAUAUUUGAUGCUAGCUUAUGAAGAUUAUUAAAUUGAUUUGACAUAGACAUAUGUUAGAAAGGUUUAAUGAGUUUAAUAAGUAUGACUGCAUCGAUUAAUAAAUAAUCGAGUUUCCAUGGAAUUAUCCAUAACAUUAUUAGC
rnacentral:lncRNA from 1 species